rnacentral:rRNA from 1 species
AGCAGCCACCUUUAAAAAGCGUUUAAGCUUCAUUUGUUAUUAUAAAAAUCCUUAAAUUUUUCUACAACCCUUAAUCUGUACUGAAUGAUCUCAUGACUUCAUGAGAGCCUAUAUGUUAGAACUAGUAACAAGAAGAAAGCACUUCUCCAAAAUGUAAGCAUGAGCCAAAAUGAACUAUUCAUUGGCAUUUAAAGUUAAUAAAUCCCUAGUAGUUAACUAUUCAAGAAAAACCUACUUAUAUAUGACGUCAACCUUACACCAGCCCAUUUCUGGAAAGAUUAAAAAACUAGGAAGGAACUCGGCAAAUAACUAACCCCGCCUGUUUACCAAAAACAUCGCCUCCUGAUUUCUAUAAGAGGUCUAGCCUGCCCAGUGACAAAGUUAAACGGCCGCGGUACCCUAACCGUGCAAAGGUAGCGCAAUCACUUGUUCUUUAAAUGAGGACUAGUAUGAACGGCAUCACGAGGGUUAUGCUGUCUCCCUACUUUAUUCAGUGAAACUAAUCUCCCCGUGAAGAAGCGGGGAUAAAAAUAUAAGACGAGAAGACCCCAUGGAGCUUUAAACUCAGUAUCAACUGCCAUUAUUAAAACCUUAUACCCAAGCAGUCUAUGACUACUAGUUUUCGGUUGGGGUGACCACGGAGUAAAAUCUAACCUCCAUGAUGAAAGGAACUAAAAACCUAAAUUAAGGGCUACAACCCUACAUAUCAUAAAAUUGACUAAUUGAUCCAAUUAAUUGAUCAACGAACCAAGUUACCCUGGGGAUAACAGCGCAAUCCAUUUCAAGAGCUCUUAUCGACAAAUGGGUUUACGACCUCGAUGUUGGAUCAGGGUAUCCCAGUGGCGCAGCCGCUACUAA